ensembl:snRNA U6 U6 spliceosomal RNA
AUGUUCAUUUGGGCAGCACAUAUACUAAAAUUGGAACAAUACAGAGAAGAUUAGUAUGGGCCCUGCACAAGAAUGACACACAAAUUCGUGAAGCAUUUCGUAUGUUU